CCUACGGGAGGCUGCAGUGGGGAAUAUUGGGCAAUGGGCGCAAGCCUGACCCAGCAACGCCGCGUGAAGGAAGAAGGCUUUCGGGUUGUAAUCUUCUUUUGUCAGGGAAGAGUAGAAGACGGUACCUGACGAAUAAGCCACGGCUAACUCCGUGCCAGCAGCCGCGGUAAUACGUAGGUGGCAAGCGUUGUCCGGAUUUACUGGGUGUAAAGGGCGUGUAGCCGGGUUGACAAGUCAGAUGUGAAAUCCUGCGGCUUAACCGCAGAACUGCAUUUGAAACUGUUUAUCUUGAGUACUGGAGAGGCAGAUAGAAUUCCUAGUGUAGCGGUGAAAUGCGUAGAUAUUAGGAGGAACACCAGUGGCGGAGGCGGCUUACUGGACGGUAACUGACGCUGAGGCUCGAAAGCGUGGGGAGCAAACAGGAUUAGAUACCCUUGUAGUC
rnacentral:rRNA from 1 species